UACGUAGGUCCCGAGCGUUGUCCGGAUUUAUUGGGCGUAAAGCGAGCGCAGGCGGUUUGAUAAGUCUGAAGUUAAAGGCUGUGGCUCAACCAUAGUUCGCUUUGGAAACUGUCAAACUUGAGUGCAGAAGGGGAGAGUGGAAUUCCAUGUGUAGCGGUGAAAUGCGUAGAUAUAUGGAGGAACACCGGUGGCGAAAGCGGCUCUCUGGUCUGUAACUGACGCUGAGACGCGAAAGCGUGGGGAGCGAACAGG
rnacentral:rRNA from 1 species